UACGUAGGGUGCAAGCGUUAAUCGGAAUUACUGGGCGUAAAGCGUGCGCAGGCGGUUCGCUAAGACAGAUGUGAAAUCCCCGGGCUUAACCUGGGAACUGCAUUUGUGACUGGCGGGCUAGAGUAUGGCAGAGGGGGGUAGAAUUCCACGUGUAGCAGUGAAAUGCGUAGAGAUGUGGAGGAAUACCGAUGGCGAAGGCAGCCCCCUGGGCCAAUACUGACGCUCAUGCACGAAAGCGUGGGGAGCGAACCGG
rnacentral:rRNA from 1 species